rnacentral:rRNA from 1 species
AGGAAAGNCAGGGGAUCGCAAGACCUUGCGCUUUUGGAGCGGCCGAUGUCUGAUUAGCUAGUUGGUGAGGUAAAGGCUUACCAAGGCUUCGAUCAGUAGCUGGUCUGAGAGGACGACCAGCCACACUGGGACUGAGACACGGCCCAGACUCCUACGGGAGGCAGCAGUGGGGAAUUUUGGACAAUGGGGGAAACCCUGAUCCAGCCAUGCCGCGUGAGUGAAGAAGGCCUUCGGGUUGUAAAGCUCUUUCAGCCGGAACGAAAAGGUUACGGUUAAUACCCGUGACUAAUGACGGUACCGGAAGAAGAAGCACCGGCUAACUACGUGCCAGCAGCCGCGGUAAUACGUAGGGUGCGAGCGUUAAUCGGAAUUACUGGGCGUAAAGCGUGCGCAGGCGGUUUUGUAAGUCAGAUGUGAAAUNCCCCGGGCUCAACCUGGGAACUGCGUUUGAAACUACAAAGCU